UCACUUACUCUUCCAUCUUUUGCCACUGUGCCAGAUAAAUUUAAAUGUAUCUGUUGAAGUGGAGAUAAUCCAUGCAAAUCAGAGCCACUGGCUCCCAAGUGCUCGAUUCACAAAGAAAGCGGUGCUUCAGGAGGUCACUCGUUCACAGCUGCUCCUCCCAUUAUAUUUUUUUCCCUCUUACAGCAGAAUUGCUGCUUGUAUACAGUGACUGAAAGGACUCAAUUUACUGCAACUGCUGCCUGGUUUUCCUUACAACUUUCUUUAAAAGAGGGACAUACCUUCCAGCUAUCUUGCCAAGAAAGAUAAGAAGAAUAUAGUGCAGAUGCUGUAAAAGGAAGGAGAAAGAAAAACUGAGCAGCUACUUCAUUCCUAAAGAAAAUACAAGGUCACAGAAUUGCCAAGAUGUUCUCAGACAAGGAGAGACUGCAACAGAUGGACAACUUUUUAGGAUAUUGCAUCAACUGGUGUGGAGGAUUGUGGUGUUGAAAGCAGGGAUAUUUGAUACUGCAUUUGCAAAGUCCAAUUCCUCAAUCAAUAUUACAUUGAGCCAUAUGUCAGAAUCCAUCCAAAAGUUCUAGUAAAUGCUUCUGGUGAUAAAGCUGCUAAUGCAGGAACAAAACCUGCCGUAUAGAAGUAGGGCACUGUAUGUUUCCUUGGUGGAUUUAAUCAAGUGGGAUUUAACCAGAAAUUAGUAAAUGGCUCACAUGUUGGUGCAGACACUGGCAUGAAAAAGGUGUGUGUAAAUCAGACCUUAAUCAAACCUUUGGAGCAAUACAAAGAUGAAGCAAGAAAUCUUUACUGUUGACCUACUCAGCUGGGUUUUCUUUUCAUGUAGAGUCACCUAUCAAUGAGAAAUCAAAGAAGUUUUGUUCAGCUUGUGAUCUGGAAAGAGUAAACAUCCCACUCUCCUUCUGUAUAAGAAGCCUGAGGUUCAAACUGAACAGAUCAUAGUGUUUUUCCUCAAGUCUUAACAAUAUGGGAAAUGCUGUUAAAGCCACCCACAAAAUCUGUGCUGCCUUCAGAUAGAGGUUUAGGCCUGAGAUCCAAGAUUCAUUUGAAAGAAUGAAUGAGAGUGUGGCUAAAUAAAGCAGUGCUUGCUUAACACAUUGUGAAGUAAAUGAAGUAACAUACAAUAGCAUUUAAAGGCCUGUAAGACCAUUCAGUUCACAGUCUAAAAUUACCUAACUGCAACCCUACACUAAAUAUACAAUUAAAAAGUCAAGAUAUAUAAUUAGUACUUUCUCUAUAGGUACUCUGUUCGUGACAUUUUUCUAAGUUGUGAGAAAACACCUUACUUUGCUCUGAUAUUUAGCCUGACAAACUGAAUCUUCAAACUUAAUUGUGAAAUGUUAGGUAAUUAGAAUACCCUGUUUGUGACCUAGAAAUCAUUGCACAUAACCAAUAAAGAAUAAUAUUUUGUACUUAUUUCCCA